rnacentral:lncRNA from 1 species
GGUAAAUAGGGUUUUACCCCCCUGCAAAAUAAGUCAAUUUUGCAUUACCCCCUGCAAAAAAAAAACUUGGGAUUACCCCCUGCAAUAUUAAGAUUCUCUCUUUUUACCCCCUGCUUGACAACUUGACAUAAAAUCUUUAUUUUUUAUGAGGUGGCAUGCAUAUGUGACAUUUAAUUUUUUUUUAAUUUUUUUUAAUUUGCACAUGUCAUUUUUAUUAUUAAAUAAACUAAAAAUUAAAAAAAUAAU